rnacentral:rRNA from 1 species
UAAUACCUCAUAAUGCAGCGGAUCCGCAUGGAUAUGUUGUUAAAGGUUUACCGCCUUGGGAUAGGCUUGCGUCUGAUUAGCUAGUUGGUGUGGUAACGGCACACCAAGGCUACGAUCAGUAACUGGUCUGAGAGGAUGAUCAGUCACACUGGAACUGAGACACGGUCCAGACUCCUACGGGAGGCAGCAGUGAGGAAUAUUGGGCAAUGCUCGAAAGAGUCGACCCAGCAACGCCGCGUGGAGGAUAGAAGGUAUUCUAUAUCGUAAACUCCUGUGAGAGCAGACGAAAGACAGAUUAUUAAUCUGGAUGACUGUAUGCUCAGAGGAAGCCCCGGCUAACUACGUG